UUCGUAUAUCAUAAUAUUCACAUAAUGGUCACUGUACUUGUUUAUUAAUCAGUGUCCUAUGAAUACAGUGCUGAAGGUGAAAUAUGGACUCUAUAUAUUCAUUGUAAGAACGGACCUCCAGGUCAUGAGUACAUAACGUUCUGAGUAGAAAGGGCAGCUCUAAAUUUCACAGUCUUGUCAAGAGUUAAGGACCAAGCUGGGUACAAUGUUAGGGAUUAUUUAUAUUACAAGAAGCAUUCUAGGGGAGAUUUAGCUACUCUAGAGCCCAUAGAUUAUGUCAAACAGACUGACGUUAUGAUACAAGAUAAUAUCAUGGAGAAGGAAAUCAGACUAGUACUCACAGCUAGAGACAACAAAUCAAGUCAGCAUAACACCGAUGGAGCGACCAAGGCAGCAGAACGAAGAAGAUGAGAAUGACCAUCCGUUUAUGGAUGAUGAUUGCAAUGAAUACAAGGACGGGCUACAAAACCUGCCAGCAGCUAGAAGGCAUGGUAUAACCUCUAUGUUUCUAUGUUUUUAUUGGUAUUGUUUGUAAUCUUGGCAACUUUAUAUAAACUACAUCUUCUCUAAAAUGUUUUGGUCGCUAACAAUUUCAAGGAUGGCUCUAGGAGGGAAACAGUUGACACGUACAAGGAAUUUUUAAGGAUCAAAGGAGACAUGGAACAAAUCAGUAAUGAUUUUUCCUUUAUAGAGCAAUGUAAUUUACUUGUAUUUUUUUAACUGAACCAUUCAACCUUUGUGCAGUGGCAAUUGUUGAGCAACCUAACACUACUGAUAGCAUCACAGUUGAAG
rnacentral:lncRNA from 1 species